UCAAAAUCUGGAACCCAUAGUUCCCAAUGCGCUUAGUCAAAUAUCCUUAAAUGCCGCUCUUCAUUCAAUUUUCAGAAUUUGAAGUCUAUAUCCUUAAUUAUGGGCACGUUGCCAACCCUUCGUUCCCUCCCAUCACAGAUGCGUCUCUUUGUAGCUUGUACGGUUGUACCCUCGCUCGCUAUAAAGCCCAUCGUUUGGUAGUACUAGGUUCAACUCGGUACUGCUUUCGCUGCCUUCAACAUCUAUCAGCGUAUGACGGUGUUGUCGGCUUCAACUACGCCCAAAUGGUGUCGCGCCCUUCAACCACCAAGUGCAUCCAUCAGCAUUUUGAUGGAGAUUGUCCGGAAAGAGAGGUACAAUGGCUUCGGAGCUACCGCCGUUCCCCUAUUUUCAAUCUCAUUUUAUCAGUUCUUGAUUCUACCCCCUCCUUCUCUGGACGUAUUCUCUUGCUCAAAAUUUAGUUAUUUUAUCCAUAGUUAUUUGUUUGAUUAUAAGGAUCGUACAAGAUGUUUCUACCACCAUAGCUCCAUCGCUCCUCUCUGUCCCCCCUCUUCACCAAUAGUUUUCUUCCCCACAUAUUAUCUUGGCUUCAAAAAUCCCCGUUGCUUGAUUUGAGUCUUAGGUAAAUCUUGUCACUUAUUUUCUAAUUAGUAUAGGGUUCAGAAUUGUAAUAUUUUUGUUGUUUAUCAUUGAUUGAAUUUAUCUAUUAUUUUGAGAUUGUUCUACUUAUUUAGGGUCGUAAUCCACAUUCAGUUUGUUAAAAUUUCCCUAACAUUACUUGGUAAAGAAAAAAACAACCCUUUGUUUUCCUUUCAUAUUCAUGAAAAAAAUAUUGUUCCAGAUGGUAUUUCAUGAACUUUGAGUGCAAACCCACUUCAAAUAUUACAGUUAUAUGGUCUUCUGUGUACUUUGUUUUUCCUGUGAAUUUUAAGGGUUUAAUCGCGUGUUAAAAUGAGUCUUUAUGCAGAAUUUGUCGGAUGGUUAUGCAUAUGAAGUUAUUAAUAUUAAACUUGAGAAAAUGACUAGGUGAAGACUUUGUGAAUACUCCAAUGGAAAAUAAGUAUGUUCUUGCAAAUUCUGAGGCUUAAAUAUUAAGGUAUGUAAUUAUUUCUCUUGCUAAACCACGAAGAUACUCAAGACUUAAUCCACCUUCUUGUUUCUCUUUCGUAAGAUCGGUCAUUUGUGGCAAGUAUCAUAGCUAUCUCUAAGAUAGAUAAUACCAUCUGGAAUAAGUCCAGGGAGAGUUGAAAUAAGUGGAUCAAACCAUGAAUCAUAAGUGCUAAUUUCUAUCUCAUUCAUACAGUUGGCUUCAUGCACAGCUCUUACAUACCCGUUCAUCAAGUAAGUACCAACAGUAUGUGGAUGAGCUUUAAAACUGAAUAUCACAAUUUUGAUUUUGAAUAUGUUGCUAAACUUACUAUGAUUAUAAUUAUUAUUGUUCAAAAAAUCAGAAUGGGAUAAUCAGGUAACCAACAGAGUUGAUGCAAGAAAUGUAAAAUUACCUGCUCAUUCCUACCUUUUAACAACUCAUUAUCUGUUUGGUUCAGAUUCUUUAUGUUGCAAUAAGCACUUUGAAAAGACACAUCCAAACAUUCCUCAUUUCAAAUUUCUGUUAUAUAGUGUUCGAUAUUGACGUUGGAGGUUGCUUAGUUCGAAUUUGAAGCCACAUCCAACUUGAUUUUCCUUAACGAAAAAUCUACUUCAAUUGAUUGUUUUAGCAAUUUAUGAAGCUACCAUGAUGGUUUAGUUAGUGAAGUUAGAUGUUCUAGGGGGAUUGCAAAUAAUGAUUAAUUUUAAUGAAAUUUUGAUAGUAUAGUUUUUGUUUCUUUUAUGAGCUUAAUUUGAGUCUUUAUUGCUCUUUCAAAAUUUAUGCCACUGGAUAAUAUGGAUUACAAGCUAUUUACCUAUUUUAUGGGAUUAAGUUUCAUCAAAAAGAAACAUGAAGGAUGGACAAUAUAAGCCUUUAGUUAUGCUCUAGGAGAUUGGAAAAGGGCAACAGAGUUUUAGUUUUAAUUAAGUAAUUGCUUACGUAUUUGUGUUCAGGUGUUGGUUUUUUUGACACAAGUGAAACCCUCUAAGGCAAGGCUUAAAACUUAGCACCUCAAAUUUAAUUAUAUGUGUUUCUGUCUAAUUUUCAAAUUCCUUUUAAUGGGUGAUAAGUUUCAAAAAUUGCAAAAGUCACCCUUGAAGUUCAUUUUGUUGUGCAGGGGGUAUUAGCGGAAGAGGCUGAAAACAUUGCUUCAAAGUAUAACCGUGUUUUAUUGCAAAAGUUUGUUUCAUAUUGAUGGUGUUGUUGCUUCUGAAAUCUUUUGGCUGGUUAUAAUUAAAAAGCAUUAUAGCAAAUUGGGUAGACACGAAGAUUAGAAGGUAAAACUUGUAAAAGAUGGUCCUAGCAGAGCAUAUCUUACAUAUACACCACGAAAUGCCUACCAAACGGUUUAUAUCCAUCAGAUAUGUUCACCUAUGGUUGCUGAAAUCUUUAUCUUUAUUUUUUGGUAGUUUCAUUCUCACUGGCCUUAAUUGUGAUUGUGUGUACGAGACUUAGACUGCAUGUAUGAUUUUUCUAUUUUUUUAGGAUAAUCAAGAAUACAAUAACUUUUGGAAACAUUGAUUUCAUGACAACUAUAACAGUACCAGCCUAAUUUUAUUGGGGUUUUAAUCAAAACCUUAAUCAUUGAGAUUCUCCA